rnacentral:rRNA from 1 species
GAUGAACGCUAGCGGCAGGCUUAAUACAUGCAAGUCGAGGGGCAGCAGCUUUAUAGCAAUAUAGAGGCUGGCGACCGGCCAACGGGUGCGGAACAGGUACACAACCCUCCUUCAAGAGGGGGAUAGCCCAUAGAAAUGUGGAAUAAUACCUCGUAACAUAGCGGUGUGUGAUCACACUUGUAUUAUAGUUUCGAUGCUUGAAGAUGGGUGCGCGGCUGAUUAGGUAGUUGGCGGGGUAAAGGACCAGCAAGCCUUCGAUCAGUAGCUGAUGUGGGAGCACGAUCAGCCACACGGGCACUGGGACACGGGCCCGACUCCUACGGGAGGCAGCAGUAAGGAAUAGGGGUCAAUGGACGCAAGUCUGAACCAGCCAUGCCGCGUGAAGGAUGAAGGUCCUCUGGAUUGUAAACUUCUUUUAUAGGGGGCGAAAAAAGGGAAUUCUUUCUCGCUUGACAGUACCCUAUGAAUAAGCACCGGCUAACUCUGUGCCAGCCGCCGCCGUAA